UUUUUUUACAAGAUGUACGUUCCUUGCGUGGUGUACUGCAACGUUUUCAGUUUAUUGAAAAAGUCGUGCAAAUUCGCGAAACAAAAUUGUCUCCUGAUAAUGUCACAAAUGUGCUCGUAAUUAUAAAAUAUGUCAAUGAGCAAUGGGCUUUUUUAAUUGAAGAGUUGGAUGCUGUUUUGUGUUAAUAUGAUGUGUAAAAACGUAUACCAGUUUGUGUGAAUAAAGUUCAUGAUCAACGCUUUU
rnacentral:lncRNA from 1 species